CAGUUGUCUAUGAAUAGCCUUUGUGACCUGCACCAUCUGAUUGUAUUUCUGGUGAAGAAAUGUUCAGCUGGAGCACUCUGAUGAAAUCAUCAGCCAUAGUUCUGCAUUAGAAGAAAUCACUUCUCCUCACACAUUUUUAAGUUGGGGAAAAUAAGACUGCUGAGAAGAUAUAAAGUUUAUGAUUUAGUUAAACGAACUGGAAAAAUCUCUCAAGACUGAGUCAGAAGCCUGGACUCAGGAUUCAUGAACUGUGGAGUUGCUACUUGAUCUGCUGCAGUUUGAAAGAUCUGCAGGAUGGAUGGUUACUCAGCCAGGGUUACCUAAGAACUGAAAAAAAAAUACCAAGCACAUCAUAAACAACCUUUCAGAAUCCCAAGAUGAGGAUAUAAUAGAGAUGAAAUAGAUAUCACUAUGUCCAAGUCAAAAAUUUUGAGGUAACUCUGAAGAUAUUCAUCGGUUUCUAGUUCCGUGAACUGAAUCAAACAUAUGAAAGUUGUGAAGUUGGAAUACAGGUUUGUGAUGGUUGAGGAUAAAACUUCUACCUUUUAAAAUUUACAUAAAAUCAUAAACUUUUAAAUCUACUUCCUGCAACUGAUAGCUCCUGUUAAGAAAGAGAUUUUGUAGUUACGUGGCUCAUGAUAUUAAUCCUAGUUCCUUGGAGGCAAAGGUAUGCAGAUCUCUGAGGAUUCCAAUCCAGCUCAGUUUAUACAGUGAACUCCAGGCCAGUUAGAAUUAUUUAGUGAGAAUAUCUUCAAAACCAAAAUAAAACAAGAUGUACAAUAAGAAAGCACCUCUUCAAACAAACAGAAAAUAAACAACAACAACAACAAUAAGAAACUCAUUUGAAAAAUAAGAAAGAUGGCAUCCAUAUGUGCUAUAAAAGGACACUAGAAAUGGUGUGCUGUUUGGUACCCAGAGCUACAGUGCAGAUUUUCUGACCCAUAGUCCAUUAUACUCUGUACUUUAUAGAAUACUUUCUUCUUGAGCCAGAUGAGCUUCUGUCUAGAAAUGGCCACUGUGCAAGGCCUAUGCCCCACGUCUUCAUACACACAUAGCACUAUGGAAACAGCUGAAAGUGACAACAAUUAGAAGCUGGAGAAUGCCUUGGCCACUGACCGGUGUGUGUAUACAAAAGAGAGUGCACACAUCCUGAGGAGGCCAGAUUAGGGAAUCAGAUACCCUAAUGUGCUUAUGCUUGGAACCAAACUCCAGUCUUCUGGAUGAAUGAGAUGUUCUCUUAAACACUAAGUUGACAGGGAAAAACAUUCAUGGACAAUAAGAAGGCUGAACACAGGCUGGACCAUCAGAAAGAUUAUACUUCAUGAAUAAGGAAGAAGAAAGCUGGAAUAUGUGAACCAGUGUGGAGAAUGUUGGUUUAAUGGUCCUUGGAUGAAUCAUGAUAGAUAGUUAAGUG
rnacentral:lncRNA from 1 species